GUUUCCUUUAUUUUUAAUAUAGCUGCAUUUAACAUGUAGGCGCUUUGCAUCAUCACUUCAUAAAGGUUUUCCCACAUUUCUCUGUAUUCACAAUUGUUUAUUUUGCCACAUUUUACAAAAUUAAUAUAAUAAUUUACUGAACUGUUUCCAAACACUUGGUACAUUUCCCUGUACAAAUGAACAUUUGUACAGAUUUUUUUUCUGUUAGCAAUUUCUUUAUACGUAGUUCCAACCAUGGGAUCACUGGUUCAAAGGGUAAGAACAGUUUUAUGACUUCAUGUUCAUUUCCAGAUGUUCCUCAAAAACAAUGUAACUAGAGUGCCCAUUUCCCAGCAGCAAACUCUACAUUUUAAAGUCAUUUAAAUAAAAAGGUGGUAUUGGUCUUGCCCAUAAAGUUUCACAGAAUGAUUGUUGCAUACGGGAAUUCUUGCACAGGGAAACCAUGACUUUGUCCUUCUCCCUUCGCCUAUGCAGGGUCCAUGAAGGGUCUUUUUGAGGUCGACUGGCCUCCUUUUUAGAUCAUUUAUAUCAUAAGUUGCAAUGCAUUCCCAAAUCCCAGAGCUGGAACUCGAGGGUUACAUAGUCCAAACCUUAUCUAAAAAGAAAAAAAAAAGCAUUUCCUUGUAUUACAAUAUCCCUUGACAACAGAUCACACCACCUCGGCUGGAACCUACCACCACAUCUUUUCUUUGUCUCUCCAGAGUUUAGCACAGUGUCUGACACAUUAAGUAGGCGCUUAAUAAGUGCUUGUUGAAUGCCGAUUUCCUGAGGCAGCCCACGAUAGGAUCUGACCAAAAGUGACUUGGGACUUAAACAUUGAACCUAAGCCCUUUGCCCUUGAGAACCUGAGGACUCUCUGAUUGGAUGAUUAGGAGAAACAGCAGCAAUAGCAAUUACAGACGUGACUCCGGCACCACGUGAGGGGUCACUCCAAGGGUCUUUCAGAAGCCUAAACGAAGUUGCACCCGCUCUGACGUCAGAAAUCCGCAGCCAAUAGGCUCGUGCUAGAGGCUAUGCUUGUGACGCGUGGUCUGAAGACUGUCAGUCCUGUCUGCUCUGGAGGGGACUCCACCAUUGCUGCCGUGCAGCGCCCCAGGGCCCUCUCACUGCCCACCUCUUUUUGCCCCGUCUAGCCCCAAAGGGGUCGGGAUUGGGACUGUUUCAUCGGUGCAUACUUUUACAUUCCACUGGUGGUGUUGUAUGGCUUCAAGACAUGGAACACAACAGUCUCCGAAGAACUGGAAGUGAAUAUCACACAAAGGGCAAUGGAGAGGUGCAUGGUGGGUGUGAACAGGCUGCAACAUAUAACAAAUGGGGAACUUUGAAGAAGACCAGAAAUAAAAGGUUUCAUCAUGAAAUGUAUGGUAGAAAAAGAUGGGCUGGUCAUGUGUUGAGAGGAAGGUAUGAAAGGUAGACAGC
rnacentral:lncRNA from 1 species